GCCGGGCGCGGUGGCGCGUGCCUGUAGCCCCAGCUACUAGGGAGGCUGAGGUGGGAGGAUCGCUUGAGCCCAAGAGUUCUGGGCUGCAGUGUGCUAUGCCGAUCGGGUGGCUGCAUUAAGUUCGGCAUCAAUAUGGUGACCUCCCGGGAGCGGGGGACCACCAGGUUGCCUAAGGAGGGCGGAAACGGGGCAGGUCAAAACUCCCGUGCUGAUCAGUAGUGGGAUCACGCGUGUGAAUUGCCACUGCACUCCAGCCUGGGCAACAUAGCGAGACCCCGUCUCU
rnacentral:SRP_RNA from 1 species